AAUUAAAUGGUAAAGAAUCUGCCUGCAAUGCAGAAGACCAGGGUUCAAUCCCUG
rnacentral:tRNA from 1 species